GCGGACAGACAGCAGACAGAAAUAGACACGCAGGACAGUACCGCCCCCUCCCAACAGGCCCCAGACCCGGCUUCCCUCCCUCCUCCACCAAAGCAUCCCAAACGGGCUUUGAAACACGCACAGACGCAAAACGGCGCUCGGUGUUCAAGGGCCGCCGCACACGCGCACACACGCACUAACGCUGCUGCUUCUGCGGACACGGAGACACCGCGGGACCAGACCCGCUAAACCAUGUCACUUGCGCUCACAGCAGGUCCCCGACAGAGACACACAGACCCACUCCUGCACCCUGCCCUGGGCAUAGGACACUGAGAAGACAGGUGGGAUGGGGCGCAGGCCGUGCUCAGGUGCAGGCGGACAGAUGCCCCCUGGAUCAGACCGGACCCUCGCUGUCGCCCAGACCCAGGGCAGGCGUCCUCACCACCGACAGCCCAGAAAAGAACGGCUUUUAUCCAGAGGAAUGACUCCCUAGUGUGGACGGCCAGGCGAUGAAGUCAGGCUCGGGGCGGAUUUUCAUGUAAGGACCAGUCGCAUCUCGCGGGACCCUGCAUCCCCCUGAAGCCUGUCCCCAGCGGUCCCGCACGGGGGGUGUCCCUGGACCGCGGUCUGGGAGAGCUUUUCCGCGGAGUGACCCCGCAGCGCCCAUCUGAAGGUGUGUGCUGCCCUCUAGCGGCCGAGCCACGUGGCAUCAGCCUCCCGCCGACAGCAUCUGGAAUUUGCAUUUUCCUGGGACCCAGGACACGGUGGCCACAAGGAGCAGCCAGGGGCAGAGGAGGCCGCUGGGCAAGGACGUGGCCCCAGGGGGAGUUCACUUAGAGACAAGCUCCACGGAGAGAAAUGAAACAGUAACAGAAUGUGAGGUCCCCAGGCCAAAGUAACUCCUUUUUGAAAAUCGGCACCACCCCACCUUCCCGUUAGGCCCAUCCUGAAAAAGUCCCUGACUACCGAAACCACAGCAAAGACAUUGGGUAGCAACCACAGGACUAGACAGGUUAUUUUUCAAGUACUCCAUUGCACUUGACUCUGUAGUUAAGAAGUGCCCCCCCCCCCAGGCUGCUGCACCUGGCAGAAGGGCAGCCUGGCGGAUAUUCUCUGUCAAUAAACCUUUGCUGGACUCAGAGCUGGGUCUCUCCUGGACAUUUGCACCAGCUACCCUAACACAGACCAGGAGGUGUCCGUCUAAUUGUCCAUGUUUUAAAAUUGACAAGCAAAUUGCAUACACAGUGAGCCCUCUUUAUCCACGGUCCCGCCUCUGGGGGUCAGCCGACACAGAUGGGAAAGAGUCCCCCCAAGAUUGCCUCUGAACUGGAUGUGUACUGGCCUCACUUUCUGGUCCUGAGCUUAGUGGCUCUAGAGUCCAGAGGGGAGCGAGAUCCUGUGGUGCUGUCCAUUCUGUGACUGGGCUUGCUUCACAACAUCCUUCAAACUCAUCACUUGGUCAUGGUGAUAAGACUAUUUUUUUUUUUCCGAAGUUUUUGUGUACCAGGGUUUGAACUCCGGGGCACUGGAGCCACAUCCCCUGCCCUAUUUUGUAUUUUAUUUAGAGACAGAGACUCACCGAGUUGCUUAGCACCUCACUUUUUUUGCUGAGGCUGGCUUUGAACUCUCGAUCCUCCUGCCUCAGCCUCCUGAGCAGCUGGGAUUACAGACAUGCAUGACCAAGACUUUAUUUUUGAAGAGGCUGAAUGGCACUUUAUUGUGUGUAUACGAUUGCCCUCCUUUGCCGGUAGUUCUACUUUCUGAAGUUCUAAUUGUGGUCAGCUGUGAUCCAAAAACAUGUAUGCAAUAUUUUGAAAGAGAGAAAGAGAGAGAGAGAGAGAGAGAGAGAGAUCAUAUUCAUAUAACUUUAUUACACUAUAUAUGUGACAGUUGUAUUUUAUUAUUAGCUAUGGUUACUAAUCUCUUACUUCAUCUCAUUCACAAGUUAAUCUUCAUCAGAGUUUGCACCUAUGGGAAAAGCAGAGUCCAACAGAGUUCAAUGUUUUCCAAGGUUUUGGAUACCACUGGGAGUCUUGGAAUAUUCCCCCAUGUGUGUGAGAGAUUGCUGAAUCCAUAUUUUAAAAAUGCAGUCUAGAGGGUGACUUGGUGGUGUUGAGUGGCUAUUGUGGGUCAGCUGACCAGAGAGGGCUUUUCUGGUAUUUGAGCUCAUAUCCAGGUGAAUCCUAGAAAUGAACCACAGGAGAACAAUGUGUUUCAGGCAGAGGGAGCAGCAGGAGAAGAGGAUGUGGGGAGGGAAGGAGCUUGGUAAGUCUGGGUCUGUGAUUUAUUAAAGAUGGUUGAAUUUUC